UGUAUAAUGGGUCAGCGACUUAUAUUCUGUAGCAAGGUUAACCGAAUAGGGGAGCCGAAGGGAAACCGAGUCUUAACUGGGCGUUAAGUUGCAGGGUAUAGACCCGAAACCCGGUGAUCUAGCCAUGGGCAGGUUGAAGGUUGGGUAACACUAACUGGAGGACCGAACCGACUAAUGUUGAAAAAUUAGCGGAUGACUUGUGGCUGGGGGUGAAAGGCCAAUCAAACCGGGAGAUAGCUGGUUCUCCCCGAAAGCUAUUUAGGUAGCGCCUCGUGAAUUCAUCUCCGGGGGUAGAGCACUGUUUCGGCAAGGGGGUCAUCCCGACUUACCAACCCGAUGCAAACUGCGAAUACCGGAGAAUGUUAUCACGGGAGACACACGGCGGGUGCUAACGUCCGUCGUGAAGAGGGAAACAACCCAGACCGCCAGCUAAGGUCCCAAAGUCAUGGUUAAGUGGGAAACGAUGUGGGAAGGCCCAGACAGCCAGGAUGUUGGCUUAGAAGCAGCCAUCAUUUAAAGAAAGCGUAAUAGCUCACUGGUCGAGUCGGCCUGCGCGGAAGAUGUAACGGGGCUAAACCAUGCACCGAAGCUGCGGCAGCGACACUAUGUGUUGUUGGGUAGGGGAGCGUUCUGUAAGCCUGUGAAGGUGGCCUGUGAGGGUUGCUGGAGGUAUCAGAAGUGCGAAUGCUGACAUAAGUAACGAUAAAGCGGGUGAAAAGCCCGCUCGCCGGAAGACCAAGGGUUCCUGUCCAACGUUAAUCGGGGCAGGGUGAGUCGACCCCUAAGGCGAGGCCGAAAGGCGUAGUCGAUGGGAAACAGGUUAAUAUUCCUGUACUUGGUGUUACUGCGAAGGGGGGACGGAGAAGGCUAUGUUGGCCGGGCGACGGUUGUCCCGGUUUAAGCGUGUAGGCUGGUUUUCCAGGCAAAUCCGGAAAACCAAGGCUGAGGCGUGAUGACGAGGCACUACGGUGCUGAAGCGACAAAUGCCCUGCUUCCAGGAAAAGCCUCUAAGCAUCAGGUAACAUCAAAUCGUACCCCAAACCGACACAGGUGGUCAGGUAGAGAAUACCAAGGCGCUUGAGAGAACUCGGGUGAAGGAACUAGGCAAAAUGGUGCCGUAACUUCGGGAGAAGGCACGCUGAUAUGUAGGUGAAGCGACUUGCUCGUGGAGCUGAAAUCAGUCGAAGAUACCAGCUGGCUGCAACUGUUUAUUAAAAACACAGCACUGUGCAAACACGAAAGUGGACGUAUACGGUGUGACGCCUGCCCGGUGCCGGAAGGUUAAUUGAUGGGGUUAGCGGCAACGCGAAGCUCUUGAUCGAAGCCCCGGUAAACGGCGGCCGUAACUAUAACGGUCCUAAGGUAGCGAAAUUCCUUGUCGGGUAAGUUCCGACCUGCACGAAUGGCGUAAUGAUGGCCAGGCUGUCUCCACCCGAGACUCAGUGAAAUUGAACUCGCUGUGAAGAUGCAGUGUACCCGCGGCAAGACGGAAAGACCCCGUGAACCUUUACUAUAGCUUGACACUGAACAUUGAGCCUUGAUGUGUAGGAUAGGUGGGAGGCUUUGAAGUGUGGACGCCAGUCUGCAUGGAGCCGACCUUGAAAUACCACCCUUUAAUGUUUGAUGUUCUAACGUUGGCCCGUAAUCCGGGUUGCGGACAGUGUCUGGUGGGUAGUUUGACUGGGGCGGUCUCCUCCUAAAGAGUAACGGAGGAGCACGAA
rnacentral:rRNA from 1 species